rnacentral:rRNA from 1 species
CAGGGGGUGCAAACGUUGCUCGGAAUUAUUGGGCGUAAAGCGCGCGUAGGCGGCUUCUUAUGUCGGAUGUGAAGGCCCCUGGCUCAACUGGGGAAGUGCACCCGAAACUGAGUGGCUGGAGUACGAAAGAGGGUCGCGGAAUUCCCGGUGUAGAGGUGAAAUUCGUAGAUAUCGGGAGGAACACCGGUGGCGAAGGCGGCGACCUGGGUCGAUACUGACGCUGAGGCGCGAAAGCGUGGGGAGCAAACAGGAUUAGAUACCCUGGUAGUCCACGCCGUAAACGAUGAGUGCUAGAUGUUUCUGGUAUUGACCCCGGAGGCGUCGUAGCUAACGCGUUAAGCACUCCGCCUGGGGAGUACGGCCGCAAGGCUA